UGGAGGCCUGUGGACCAUCUCUGGUGCUCAAAUUCUUACCCUGAGUGGUGGCUAAUUUCAUAUUUAAAGCUGUCUUCCUUGUGCAGAACCUAACAGGAAAGGAAGUAUGUUUCAUUUAUGUUAUGAUUAUAAAAUAACCUAGCAACUUGGUUUGCCUAUGUUCAAUAAUUUUGUGAGAGAAGCACCUCCCCUGCCAGCCCAGUCUGAUGGGGAGGGGAGCUGUCAGAAAAACAAAAAUGGUUUUAAAAAACCUUAGAGGGAGCGUAGGAAGUUAGUCAGCAUUAACAAGUGGAAAGCCUUUCCAGGACGAGGGAAGAGAGCAAGGAAAAGCACAGAGGCUGAGAGACCCUGCCUGGUUUGGGAAACCAGCGGUAGCCUGGGGGAGACACCUCCGCAGGCCAUGCUCGCAGAGUGGACUUGUCCUGUCCACCAGAGGGAGCCCUCAGAGAAGUCUGUUGUGGAGAGUUCUAGAAAGAUCCUAGGGUAGGUGGAUCUGAGGUCAGUUAAGAGGCCAGGCAGGUCCAGAGAGGUUUCAGCUGAGUUGAAAGUGGGAGUAGAAAGGAAAAAAUAAAUUAUCGGAGGGAGACAAGGAAGAUUUUUAGAGGAACUCUCAGAUUCCCAUGUUAGAUAUGCCUGAGCGUUCACUGGAGAGAAGCUUUGAACAUCCUGAAGCUGGUUGUUUCUCGGUCAGCCAGCCUCGCACUGCCUUCCUACCAGCACGGCGACCUCUCCAAGAUAGAAAUACAUCGAGUGUGGACCAGUGCUUCUAAGGAAUUGCCUGGGAAAACCCUGGACUUUCACUUCGAUAUUUCAGAGACGCCGAUCAUUGGGAGGCGAUAUGACGAACUACAGAAUUCUGCGGGGCGUGAUGGGAAACCCAGGACCAUGACGGUCACCCGAAGUGCAUCCUCCACUUCGUCAGGCUCCAACUCCAAUGUUCUUGUUCCUGUGAGCUGGAAAAGGCCCCAGUAUUCUCAGAAGAGGACAAAAGAGAAGCUGGUGCACGUCCUUUCUCUGUGUGGCCAAGAAGUAGGGUUAAGCAAAAACCCAUCUGUGAUUUUUUCCUCGUGUGGGGACCUGGAUCUGCUGGAGCAUCAGACGAGCCUGGUGUCUUCUGAGGACGGCACCCGGGAGCAGGAGAACAUGGAUGACGCAAACAGCGAGCAGCAGUUCAGAGUCUUCAGGGACUUUGAUUUCCUAGACGUGGAGCUGGAGGAUGGAGAGGGUGAGAGUAUGGACAAUUUCAACUGGGGAGUGCGCAGACGUUCCCUGGACAGCCUGGACAAGUGUGACAUGCAGAUCCUGGAGGAGCGCCAGCUCUCAGGAAGUCCUCCCAGCCUAGAUAAAAUGAACCAUGAGGAUUCCGAUGAAUCAUCUGAGGAGGAGGACCUCACAGCCAGCCAGAUCCUGGAGCACUCCGACCUAAUCAUGACCCUCUCCCCUUCAGAGGAGGCCAGUCCCAUGGAACUGCUCACCACAGUCUGCGACUCAGCCCCCGCUGACCCUCGUUCCUUUAACACCAGAAUGGCCAGCUUGGACACUUCACUGCCUGAUAUGAAUAAUCUGCAGAUUUCUGAGGGUUCAAAGGCUGAAGCCGUCCAGGAGGAGGAAGACACUACCGUGCAUGAGGAUGACCUUUCAAGUUCCAUCAAUGAGCUCCCAGCAGCUUUCGAAUGCAGUGACAGCUUCAGUCUAGAUAUGACUGAGGCAGAGGAGAAAGGCAACCAAGGCCUGGACCAGUUUACCCUUGCAAGCUUCGGAGAAGGUGACAGAAGCGUCUCUCCCCCUCCCUCGCCUUUCUUCUCCGCCAUCCUUGCUGCCUUUCAGCCUGCAGCCUGCGAUGACGCCGAGGAGGCCUGGCGCAGCCACAUCAACCAGCUCAUGUGUGACUCGGACGGCUCCUGUGCGGUGUACACAUUUCAUGUGUUCUCCUCUCUGUUUAAGAAUAUUCAGAAGAGGUUCUGCUUCCUGACCUGUGAUGCCGCCAGUUACCUCGGAGAUAACCUCCGGGGAAUUGGAUCCAAAUUCGUUAGCUCCUCCCAGAUGCUCACCUCCUGCUCGGAAUGUCCGACACUGUUUGUGGAUGCGGAGACUCUCCUUUCGUGUGGACUUCUGGACAAGCUCAAGUUCAGCGUCUUAGAACUGCAAGAAUAUUUGGAUACCUACAACAAUAGAAAAGAGGCCACCCUCUCGUGGCUUGCAAAUUGUAAGGCAACAUUUGCAGGAGGAUCCAGAGAUGGAGUAAUUACCUGUCAGCCUGGGGACUCAGAAGAAAAGCAACUAGAACUGUGUCAGAGGUUGUAUAAACUGCACUUCCAGCUGCUGUUGCUUUUUCAGUCCUACUGUAAGCUCAUCGGCCAGGUGCACGAAGUGAGCUCCAUGCCAGAGCUGCUGAAUAUGUCCAGAGAACUGAGCGACCUGAAGAGAAACCUGAAGGAGGCCACGGCAGCCAUCGCCGCGGACGCCCCUUACGCAGAGGGCGCGUGGUCCGAGCCCACCUUCACGUCCACCGAGGCAGCCAUCCAGUCCAUGCUGGAGUGCCUGAAGAACAACGAGCUCGGCACAGCCUUGCGGCAAAUCAGGGAAUGCAGAAGUCUGUGGCCCAAUGACAUCUUUGGAAGCAGUUCUGACGAUGAGGUCCAGACACUACUGAACAUUUAUUUCCGUCACCAAACGCUGGGACAGACAGGUACUUAUGCACUGGUGGGAUCUAACCAGAGUCUGACCGAAAUCUGCACCAAGCUGAUGGAGCUGAACAUGGAAAUCCGGGACAUGAUCCGCAGGGCGCAGAGUUACCGAGUCCUCACUGCGUUCCUCCCAGACUCCAGUGUUUCCGGCACUAGUCUCUGACAGGAGCCUCCCGUGCCCCCUGGCUUCCAAGCUGGGGGUGCUGCCGUGCUGGGGCAGUGUCAUUCAGUGUCUUCUCAGCCUUCAGAAGGCUUGGACAGACUGUUCUCCCUCUUGUUACCUGCAGGACUUUUUCUAAAGAGGGUGACAGAGCUUCCAACGUGUAGCAAUACUUUACGAACCAAGGCAGCAAAGGACAUCCUGAGACAGACUCCCCGCAUCACGCUGUGGGGCACAAACACGCUACCCACUUCCUGAGCAAAUGCAACCCACUACUGGAGCACUGACUUCCAUGGCAUACCAAAGCGGCGACACUGAACAAUUCCUUCCUCCCUAGAAGCAGUUUUAGAGUAGCAGAAGUGCGGUGUUUUCUUCACUUCCGAGAUUUUUAUAUUCUACACCUUGUACAUUUGUCCCCUUUCCUCCCCUCCCCCCUUGGUUCUGUUUUGUUUGUUUUGUUUUUGGUGAGAUGAGAAAAGGACAGGCAGAAUGAAGCUGGCCACUGAGAAACUGAACGACGGUCCAACGCUGACAGCCUGCGUGUCUCAAAGGGACUUGGGAAUGGACUGCAAUGUAAUGGACACUGUUAUUUGAAUACAAUUACUGUACCUAAAAGGAGCUGCUAUGAAGUACUUUUCUUAUGUUGCUAGGCUACUGUUUUUGAAGGCCUGGAUCUCUUUGCACCAAAACUGAUCCAGAUAGACUCUUUUUAAGGAUCUUGGCUGCUUUUUACUAGAAGGUUGCUUUUAUGAACAUAUUUAUACUACAGAAGGAUAAAUGUUAAUUUUAAUUAACUUUGCCAUUUUAUAGAGAAAAUUUAUUCACAUAAAUUCCAAGUCUUUUCACCUCUCACGCAUGCAUAUGUUAACAUCCAUUCGGAUAGGCAGAAAUAGAAUCAUAAAGAUAUGAAUUGUCACUUUGUUUCUGAAGAAUAAUGUAUUUUAUUUGUAAUAUAUAUGUAAAGGGCCAUUCUUAAGUUUCCUCCGUAAACUUAAUGCUGUCAAAGUGUUAGAUGUGUGCAUGUGAAUCUGUUACACAUCAGAGACGUUCAAAGUUUAUCUACGUAACUUAUUCACGCUGUAUAUACAUUUAAAGUUUUGUGAUGUAAUCCUGACUGAUACUCUGUUCAGAACUUUCUUUAGACAAAAAAAAAAAAAGCAAGGACAAAAUACACGAUGACCGUGGAUUUUAUUUCUGGUUAACGAGAAUGUCUGUGGGCCGCCAGAGUGAUAAGCCCAAGGGACACCAUUCAUCACACGGAGUCACCAAGCGGCCCCCACCGGGCCGUGCGGCACAUGGCAUCGAAGUCAGAGGAAGCAAAGUCACUUUGGAAGCAGAGCUUAAGAAACAAACCAAAAAAAACCUUCCACAAGUUCUCUCUGAAAUCAAUCAAAGAGAAAAAUCAGAAAAGAAAGAGGGCUCUCACGGUCCAUAACCUAGGUGACCAUCCUUAAAAUUUUGAAAUAUACUGUGUAUUGAGCAGGAAAAAAGUAAGAAAACCUUCAUUCUGUCACCAGUUACCCUACUAGAAAAAAACAGGGCCACAGAUCCACACAGCAGUCUAACCUACAACAUCUUCCUACUCGUAUUUGACUUGGACUAGCAAAUAGAACCUGUUUUACUAGCACGCCAGUACUGACUCAUUAGUUGUUAUUUCCUAAGAGUAUCCUGCAGGAGGGAGUCCAGCCCAAAAUUUUGUUGUUGUUGCCACUCUAUUUUAACAACUUCCGGAACUGCUGGAAACAUAUUCUUUUGAUAAGUUAACAUUUUCAGCUAGAAGACAAUUGGCUGUGGUUUAUAGAAAAUUGAAUUAUGAUCACCCUGAAAAAUACCUCCUACGAUACAGGGCUCUGUCGGUAACCAGAGUGGCCACCCUAGAGAGUUUUGUUGGGAGCCGCCACGGAAAGGUCUGACUAGUCACAACGGAAAGGUCCGACUGGUCAUGCCUGAGUUGGCUACUGUACCCUCUUAUCCAGCAAAGAACCCCAGCACGCUUUACUCUUUCAAAGAUAAAGGCCGUCAGCCACACGCUGAGUUCUGCCACGUUGGACUGUAAUCAUAGGAAGUAGGAGAGUUUGUCUUUUUAAAAAAAUGUUAUUUAGAAACAAUAAUUUGGGCAAUGCAAUUCCCAUGUCGUUUCACCUUCUCUCCCUUGAGUGGAGUGGGGAGAAUUUGUGUCAGAAAGGAGCGCCGCUCCAGCUGGGCCCAGCAGUGGUUGUGGAGCCUUGGGUCAUAUCACCUUGGCUGUGUGCUGUGCUCUGUUAGAGUAUUUCCACUGCCUUCCCCAGGGCUACAGAGAGGUUGGGGUACUGAGGAGAAGGCGGGUCAGGGUGAGAGAAAUGCCUUGUCCUGUCUCAGUGCUUUCUAGAGCCAAG
ensembl:lincRNA